UUAAACUGGAUCACCAGUGCCCACACAUCAAGGUCCACAGACAUCUGAGCAGCUGGAUUUCCUUUUCUUUUAAAUUGAAAAGUGAUCAGAAAUUUGUGUGGCCUGGCAAUUUCCUGACUCCAAACCGUUUUGUCCGUGACAGCUAUCUACAAAGUGUGUUUUAAUUAACUGCAUACAAAACACUAUCCUACAUGACUAUUUCUGCUUCUGCAGGAACAGUUUGUACCAACUAUUUGCAAAUCUCUUAUCUAUGUACAGUUUGAUCUCCUCUGCAGCAGAAUGGUGUGAAAAGCUCAAGGACGCUCCGCCCCGGAUGUUCAUCAAUCAAUACACACACAUUGAGGUGUUCAGGGGAGAUGUGAUACAGAGGAGCUACCUGGGAUAAUCCCUAGAACAGACCAAAAUUCUCAUGCAGAGAGCUCCUGUGUACCAAGCACUUAAUUACCAUGAUGGGAAGGAGUUCAUACCUGCUUUCAGAGCAGACUGUUUCCUCAGACCAGCUCUAAUGUCUUCUGAUGACAAGCUGGGGAAUUCCUGAUCCACAAGGGAACUGAUGACAGGUGCAGUGUGUGUGCAGAGGCACAGCCCUGAUACCCAGCUACACCACAGUUAUAGCUAUGGGACAGACUUGAGAUUUGUACUUAGAAGUCUGACAUCUCCUACUACACUAAGAUACUGUCCUAGCCUUCAGAAUUUUGGUGUCUCUGGUUUUGGAUUACUGACUGAAAACCUUUACUCAAAUCAAUUCUUGAUUUUAAACUUCCCAGGAAAAAUUGUGAUACUGUCCCGAAGAAUCUUUUAUUGAUUCAAACGUAUGACUUUUCUCAACCAUUUUAAGAGGAUCACUGGCCUCACACAUUUGUCCAAAUACCAGCUUGUAAUGAGUUAAUUGGGUGUAAACUGCUAUGACAUCCAUGUCAUUAUCUUUAAACUUUUCUUCAUUUUGCUAUUUACUAUCAAUGGGUUUUACUGUCUGCACAUCAUCAUGCACCGAAGCACAAGUAUGUAAUCAGAGCAGUUUGGUCUAAUAGAGGAAACAUAAUGGCCUCUACUGAACUUCUUGGGAUUAUACUGGGCUGAUCUCUUCUGUAAAGGCACAUGGAAUCGUGGCUCUGUUUCCGCUGCUCUCCAGGUCCUCAGAGACAGUCUUUCUGAAGCGCCAUUUUCCCCCAUCCCCAGGAAUUGUGCCACCUGUCCUAGACCUGCCAUGUGGGACACGCAGCUGCUGUGGUCCUCUGAGAUCGUCUAGGUUGCAGUGUUCAGCACCACUGUUCAAGUACAGACUUGGAGAAAGCCAGUAAAUUUGUCAAGAACUGCUCCAGGGAAAUGUUUCUGUUACAAACACUGCAGUCAUACAAUCUCUCUUUUUCUCAAUAAGAAGAAAAAACUGCCCCAGGGCUAGAUCUCCAAGAUACUACCCACAGGCUGUUUUGGUUGUGUUUUUAUUUGGAAAAGAAAAGCAACCACUAUCAGCAACCCUUGCAGCAAAGCUGAAGCAGCCCAAACAUUUCCUUGAAGCGUGUCUUCUCAGUCAUUCCAAUUAGCAGUUGCUAUAAUAUGACAUUGUGACUGGUUCUCAAGUUGAGGAGGAAAAGGGGUGCUGAGAAAUGGGUUUUGAAAUAGUAAGAGGGAAGUUAUUUGAUAACAGCCUGAGGUCACGACACGCUGCAUCUGGGGAUUUCACUUCAGGUUUAGGUUUCUUGGGAGGAAGAACUGUAACUCUGCCUGUGUGUAUUCUGAAUACCACCCGCUGAUGGAGGCUGCCCUCCCAGCUGGGCAACCCUGAAAUACCAAUGAAUAAAUGAUAAUCAUCUCCAGUUUAAUGUCUGUCUGUGGGAAUGGAACACAGCACUGUUUAAUUUUGACCAGCAAUAACCCUGAGCAAAUUAGUAACAUCUGGUCUCCACUCAGAGCUUUCUUGACCAACAGAAAAUAAAAUAGAGAAGUUUCAUAAAGCAACGUCAAUCCCCAGAACUGUCAGAGUCACGCUGUGUGUCCUUCUCUUCAGCAGUGCCCCCAGGACCGUGCCCACUGUGACACAAGAGUGACAAGGCCUGGAUCCCAGGCCUCAAGUGUUCUUGCCCACAGCUUUGGGUUUCCAGCAAAAACAGAACACAAACUUUGUCAUGCUAUUAAGUUAUAUUCAUCCUCGCUAACCUCUUGUGAUGAAUGGCUCCAUCUGAGUGUAGUGCUGCCAGCCUCUUUACAUCCCCACGAAAUACGAUUACAAUAUAUCUUACGGACCUGACAGGGAGAAGAGCUACAGCCUUUUUAUGCAGGAAAAACUCCCCGAGGAAAUGGGAUGAAAUGGAACAACCUCAGAACUUACUGCAGGAAAAAGCAUUUCAGGCAGCCCAGUGGGGCCCAGGGACCCAAGCAAACAAAGGACUUUGUUUUCUGUUACAGGGCUGUCCGUGCUGAGGGGUGACAAGCUCCUGGAAUAAAACUAGAGCUGGAACAAUGGAAUGGCAUGGAAGAAACCAGUUCCUAAAUGUUUUCAAAUACAACAGUGUCCUCUCCCUUUCUCAGGCUUACAAUCAAACAGGGACCUGGGCCAAUCUGUACUGCAGUGGCCCAGAAGUGGUGGUGGCAGUGUUCUGCUGGAACUUGAGCUUAUGGUCAGCAGCCCAAAGAACAUGGGGCCCAGCAUGGGCUGGCCUGCCCUGAUGGCAGCAGUACAUGGAGGGCUGGGAGGGAGCUGCCAGGCACUGUGCUGGCUCUGGGGCGUUCCAUGGCUUUUUAUCAGGUGCCAGUGUGUGCUGCCAGCUGUCAAAUGGAGGCAUCUCUUUUCAACACUGCCUUGCACAAGAGCAGGCCCCAGGCUUGCUUCCUGACUCUCCCCAAUAUGCAGUCUGCCAGGUAAGGCAGCUCCUCCCAUCACAAGGCCACAGCGGGCUGUGAGCUGACAUCCUCCUUCCCCACGUGCUCUUCUGUCUGGCAGUGCUGACUGAACCCAUGGCCAUGGGCCUCCUCACCCCUCACAGCAUCCUGUGUAAAGAAGUGCUGAGAGGGUGAGGCCACAGUAUGUUCCCAAAGGAGCAUGGAGAAAGGCAUCUUUGGGAGGAGGGAAAUGUACUCCCAGCUUUGCAGUGCUGUUUAGACAGAGCAGGCUAUGUAUGCUCAGAGAGGCAAAGAUAAACUUAUUGUUGCUGAACAAAUAUUAUGUAAACAGGGAUUUUGCCAUCUGUGCUCCAAUAUUAGAUUUCCAGUACUAUUUACAUGUAGACAGACAAUUUUUAAGUGAGAAUUAAUAUUUGCCCCCAGGUGAAAUGUGGGGGAAAAAUAAAAGUCAAUUCUAAUUGAAUCCCAUUUCUGCAUUGGAAUUGCUCUUAAAGCCCAGGCAUACAGCAUAGCCACAGCAGGGAUGUGAGUGCCUCCUGCUAUUCCAGACACACUAUGAUGAGCUCAGCAGGCCAGCAGGAACCCAGCUGGCUUCCAUUACACCUCCUUGGCGAUGCCCUUUUACAGCCCGCUGUCUCAGAGACUUUGUGAACUUUCCAUUCAGCAUUUUCCUGUUUCAUUGACCUAUACCUUAAAGUCAGACUUAAUCCUGACAAGGCUGGAAGUCAGGAUCUGUUGAGAUCUGCCUGAACCUGGCAGGCUGAUUCCUGGGACUGAGAGCAAGGAGGGAACAGAUGCAAAACCCAAGGUGAGCAGCGUUGAUGUUUUGACUGAUCAUAGAAUCGUGGAAUCUUGAAUAUCUACACAGAGAGAGACUCCACAACCUGUUCCAGUGCUCUAUCACUCUGACCGUGAAUAAGUUCUUCAUUGUGUUAAUAUGGAACUUUCCAUGUUCCAGUUUCUGCUCACUGUCCCUUCUUGUACUGUUGCCUACCACUGAAAAGAGUGCUUUCAUCAGCUUGACUCCUUCACUUUAGAUGUAUAUAAACAAUGAUGAGACCCUCUCUCCACCUUCUCUACUCCUAGCUGAAUAGCUUCAGAUCUCUCAGUCCUUCUGUGCAUGGGAGAUGCUCCAGGCCCUCAAUUAUCUUUGUUGCCCUCCUUUGGACUCCUUCUUGGAUAUCUGUUUUCUUUUUUUGUCAAGGAAGCACACAGUACUCCAGAUGUGGCCUCACCAGGGCAGAGUAGAAGAGGAAGAUUACCUCUCCCAGCCUGCUGCACAUGUUCAUUUUAAUGCAUGCCAUGAUACCACUGGCCUUCUUGGCCUCAAGGGUUAUGGAUAAUCCAGGGUUAUGGACAACCUGUUGUCCACCAGGUCUUUCUCUGCAGAGGCCCUCUCAACUAGGUCAUCCUCUAACCUGUACUGAUGCAUGCAGUUAUUCCUUCUCAGGUGCAAGACUCUACACUUUCUCUUGUGUCAUCAGUGUCUUCUCUGUCCAACUCUCCAGCCUGUUCAGGUCUUGCUGAAUGGCAGCACAGCCUUCUGCUGUGUCAGCCAUUUCUUACAGCUUAGUAUCACCAGCAAACUUGAUGAGGGUAGACUUUGCUAAUGUUGAGGCUACAUUUACGUUAAGAAAUAAAAAUAUAUUCUCUG